CGGCUCACGAAGGUCGACAGAUCGGGUAGUCGUACCUGAGAGGGUGACCGGCCACACUGGGACUGAGACACGGCCCAGACUCCUACGGGAGGCAGCAGUGGGGAAUAUUGCACAAUGGGCGAAAGCCUGAUGCAGCGACGCCGCGUGCGGGAUGACGGCCUUCGGGUUGUAAACCGCUUUUGACAGGGACGAAGCGCAAGUGACUGUACCUGUAGAAUAAGGACCGGCCAACUACGUGCCAGCAGCCGCGGUAAUACGUAGGGUCCGAGCGUUGUCCGGAAUUACUGGGCGUAAAGAGCUUGUAGGCGGUUCGUCGCGUCGUUUGUGAAAACUUGGGGCUCAACCUUAAGCUUGCAGGCGAUACGGGCGGACUAGAGUACUUCAGGGGAGACUGGAAUUCCUGGUGUAGCGGUGAAAUGCGCAGAUAUCAGGAGGAACACCGGUGGCGAAGGCGGGUCUUUGGGAAGUAACUGACGCUGAGAAGCGAAAGCAUGGGUAGCAUUCAGGAUUAGAUACCCUGGUAGUCCAUGCCGUAAACGGUGGGUACUAGGUGUGGGGNCCUCCGAUUCGACGGACUCCGUGCCGAUAGCUAACGCAUUAGG
rnacentral:rRNA from 1 species